UACGAAGGGGGCUAGCGUUGUUCGGAUUUACUGGGCGUAAAGCGCACGUAGGCGGAUUGUUAAGUCGGGGGUGAAAUCCUGGAGCUCAACUUCAGAAUUGCCUUCGAUACUGGCUUUCUAGAGUGUGGAAGAGGGUCGUGGAAUUCCCAGUGUAGAGGUGAAAUUCGUAGAUAUUGGGAAGAACACCGGUGGCGAAGGCGGCGACCUGGUCCAUUACUGGACGCUGAGGCGCGAAAGCGUGGGGAGCAAACAGG
rnacentral:rRNA from 1 species